AAACGUGUCCCUUAUUCUCAACCUCCUCGUUAUUACAAAAUGUGUCAUUUAUCCGUAUUUCGUCGUCUACAGACGAUAGAGUAUCUUCGGGAAGAAUUGCUCUGGUGUCCGAAUCUUCCAUUGCCAGUUUGUAGGAUACUAAAAAAAGAUUCAAGACCCCAACUAAGAUAUCCGGUUUCUUUGUUAUUAUAGACUCGUCUUUGCAAGACUGAAUAGUUUGCGGACAAAAUCUUCAAAUAAUUCACUUGUUCGGAUCAGAAACAAAGACAAAACGUACUUAAACUCUUCCCAUGUGUAUCAAGAAUGCACCUUGUGGAAUAGCAGGGGACUGUGAAGAGACACACACAGUGUCUUAGUGUGUUUGGACCCCAAGAAGAGUAGCUGCUGCCUUGGGUGGGAAUUUUCAUCCUGCAUGUGUCCUCACAUGUUUCACCAAUCCCUCUCAGAAAUAUCCUGACAUAUCCUGUUGUAUUAAAGGUGCGUUCCAUAAUAUUUCCAAAUAAUGUCUAUGAAACAUCUGUACAGUAAAGGCACAGAAUUCCAGAACAUCAUUUGAAGCUAGUUUACUAUCAGAAAUAACCCAAAAUUAAGCAAUCAAUCAUAUCGAUGAAAAAGUACUUUCCAUUAUUGCAGUUCAAAUUCCACUAUUACUGAGAACAAAAGGCUUGUUGGGAGAAAGGGAACUUUGACUUCCAGCUGCAGCAACUGAAGUGCAUUGUUACACAGGUCAUAUAAAGACUUUUCUUUAUAACUCAACAGGAAUUUGUGCUGAAGAGUUAUCUCAACCCAAUUCAAGGCUGACUUGGGCAAUAAAGUUUAUAUGCUAGUUUACGUAUUGUGGUACACACACACACACACACACACACACACACACACACACACACACACACACACACACACACACACACACACACACACACACACACAAACACAAACACACACUAUCUGGGAAUCUGAGUUAUGGAGUUAUGGGUGGCAUGGAGGAAUAUUCCUUCAUGUUUCUAAACAGUGAUGUGGGCAAUUUACCCAGAGAUGAUGUAAUGACACCAUGUAAUGACAGUGGUUAAAGCCAUGUAAUGACAGUGGUUAAAGCCAUGUAAUGACAGUGGUUAAAGCACCAAACAUGCUCAGAAGCUUGCAUUUUCUAGUCUAAUAUGAUGUAUUCACUUGGAAAACAUAGUGGCCUAGGGUUGUUCCAACAACUAUUAUUCUACUGUACAGCAGAUGACCGUUGUUAUGGCACAAUAAACUGGCUUCAACAGAAAAGUGGCAUAAAACACAAAUCUUUUUUUUUUUGUUUCCUUAGUUACAGUUAUGGAUAAUAGUCUGUCACUAAUCAGAUUUAUGUCCAACAUGUAUUAUUUUGUACGUGCAGUUGUCCAAGAUGGAUACAAUGAAGGACGAGGAUGAGCUGUAAUUAGAUGAAGUUCUAUCUCAGUUUAACUCAGAGAAUAUAUUUACCUUAAUAUCAUUUUCAUUGGUUUAAAUGGAACACACCCACCCACAUUCAGUCCUUGAACUGAGCUGCCAAGAGGUGAGAAUUCUUGUCUCAUCUCAUAUCUGUUUACACUUUGUAUUUUAAAGUAUUCAUAUGCACGUCCACACACACUGUCUCUGUCGCUCUCUCUCUGAUGAAUGUAUAGACGCCGGUUAGAAAAGGGACAGAUGCAGGGAAAUGUCUGUGCCUGUUGCCGUUGGUGAUUCAUACAUAUUACAUUGACUAGCUUUAUAACGUCUGCUUCCAGCUCACACUCUCAAACACGUAGAUCCCCUGAACGCAGCUCACUCUCCAGAUCCCAAUCACCUGAAUUCUGAUCACCUGUUCACACACCUGUAUGUCAUUAACCCACACUAUUUAGUUCAGUUCUUUGCACCCCAUCACUGUGAGGUGUUGUUUGUUUUGUGACACACAGCUUUUUGAGUGCUGGGUUUCCCAUGAAUGAUAGGCAUUGUUAGCGAGGCUGGCAAAAACUAUUCCCUGCCUGUACUUUAGCCUAUCGGAUUUCCUGUUAUCAACCAAUUGCAUGAUCUCCUGGAUGACAUUACUAGCCUUUCCCUGCCUGUACUGUAGCCUUUUUUUGGCCCCCUGUGUAUGACCUUCUGCCUGCCCCUGGACCCAGCUACCUGCCUCCUCCUGUGUAUGACCU